GAUGAACGCUAGCGGCAGGCCUAAUACAUGCAAGUCGAACGGGAUCUGAGGGUAGCUUGCUACCCGAUUUGAGAGUGGCGCACGGGUGUGUAACGCGUGAGCAACCUACCCAUAUCAGGGGGAUAGCCCGAAGAAAUUCGGAUUAACACCGCAUAAUAAUACGCUAACACAUGUUGAUGUAUUUAAAUAUUUAUAGGAUAUGGAUGGGCUCGCGUGACAUUAGCAAGUUGGUAAGGUAACGGGUUACGAAGGCGACGAUGUCUAGGGGCUCUGAGAGGAGAAUCCCCGACACUGGUACUGAGACACGGACCAGACUCCUACGGGAGGCAGCAGUAAGGAAUAUUGGUCAAUGGGCGCAAGCCUGAACCAGCCAUGCCGCGUGCAGGAUGACUGCCCUAUGGGUUGUAAACUGCUUUUGUUAGGGAAUAAACCUUCUUACGUGUAAGGAGCUGAAUGUACCUAAAGAAUAAGGAUCGGCUAACUCCGUGCCAGCAGCCGCAGUAA
rnacentral:rRNA from 1 species